rnacentral:rRNA from 1 species
UACGUAGGGGGCAAGCGUUGUCCGGAUUCAUUGGGCGUAAAGAGCGUGUAGGCGGCCAGGUAGGUCGGUUGUGAAAACUGGAGGCUCAACCUUCAGAGGUCGACCGAAACCAUCUGGCUAGAGUCCGGGAGAGGAGAGUGGAAUUCCUGGUGGUAGCGGUGAAAUGCGCAGAUAUCAGGAAGAACACCCGUGGCGAAAGCGGCUCUCUGGAACGGUACUGACGCUGAGACGCGAAAGCGUGGGGAGCGAACAGG